rnacentral:rRNA from 1 species
GACGUAGGGAGGCGAGCGUUCGUUCCGGAUUACUGGGCGUAAAGCGCGCGCAGGCGGCACUUCAAGUAAGGUGUGAAAUCUCCCUGCUCAACGGGGAGGGUGCACUUUAGACUGAGGAGCUAGAGGACGGUAGAGGGGGGUGGAAUUGCUGGUGUAGCGGUGAAAUGCGUAGAGAUCAGCAGGAACACCCGUGGCGAAGGCGGCCCCCUGGGCCGUACCUGACGCUGAGGCGCGAAGGCUAGGGGAGCGAACGGGG